rnacentral:rRNA from 1 species
GUGUUGGCUGUUUUCAAGCCUAAAAAGCUUGAAGAGUAAGGGCUGGGUAAGACGGGUGCCAGCCGCCGCGGUAAUACCUGCAGCUCGAGUGGUGGUCGCUUUUAUUGGGCCUAAAACGUCCGUAGCCGGUUGGGUAAAUGCCUGGGUAAAUCGAUGCGCUCAACGUAUCGAAUUCCGGGUAGACUGCCCGACUUGAGACCGGGAGAGGUGCGGAGUACUCGGGGGGUAGGGGUAAAAUCCUGUAAUCCUCCGGGGACUACCAGUGGCGAAGGCGCCGCACUGGAACGGCUCUGACGGUGAGGGACGAAGCCCUGGGGCGCAAACCGGGAUUAGAUACCCGGGGUAGUCCAGGGUGUGGAACGCUGCUGACUUGGUGUUCGGAAGGUCCUUCCUGGGGCUUUUCGGGGCCCGAAAGAAAAUUUUUUAAAUUC